rnacentral:snRNA from 1 species
GGAUGUGAGGGCAAUCGGUCAUUCCAUUGAUCUCUAGGAUUAAUUUGACUGAUCUGGCUUCCUUGGUAGCAUCCCAUUCCUCCCUCACCAUCCUAUCUAUGUGCGUUCCUCCUGAAACUGUGCACUCUGUGGGUAAGGAUGACCAUCUCAAAUAGGAGGAGUUUACUGUUCUUUAGUCAAGAUACAGUAUGUAUAUGAUAGCUGUGCUCCCCUGCUAGAAGCCUCAAACGAGCAUGUCCGCAUUCAUCUCACUGCCAUGUACUAAUAUUACGCACAGAAACCGCGGAUGUAGAGGGCCCAUUGUACUGGUCCCUCACAUCCAAUAGCAUGACAAUCAUAUU